GAUGAAGAACGCAGCGAAAUGCGAUAAGUAAUGUGAAUUGCAGAAUUCAGUGAAUCAUCGAAUCUUUGAACGCACAUUGCGCCCGCCAGUAUUCUGGCGGGCAUGCCUGUUCGAGCGUCAUUUCAACCAUCAAGCCCCCGGCUUGUGUUGGGGACCUGCGGCUGCCGCAGGCCCUGAAAACCAGUGGCGGGCUCGCUGUCACACCGAGCGUAGUAGAUUUUCAUCUCGCUCAGGGCGUGCUGCGGGUUCCGGCCGUAAAAAGCCUUAUUUACCCAAGGUUGACCUCGGAUCAGGUAGGAAGACCCGCUGAACUUAAGCAUACAAUAAGCGGAGGA
rnacentral:misc_RNA from 1 species